UGACGUUAGCGGCGGACGGGUGAGUAACACGUGGGUAACCUACCUAUAAGACUGGGAUAACUUCGGGAAACCGGAGCUAAUACCGGAUAAUAUUUCGAACCGCAUGGUUCGAUAGUGAAAGAUGGUUUUGCUAUCACUUAUAGAUGGACCCGCGCCGUAUUAGCUAGUUGGUAAGGUAACGGCUUACCAAGGCGACGAUACGUAGCCGACCUGAGAGGGUGAUCGGCCACACUGGAACUGAGACACGGUCCAGACUCCUACGGGAGGCAGCAGUAGGGAAUCUUCCGCAAUGGGCGAAAGCCUGACGGAGCAACGCCGCGUGAGUGAUGAAGGUCUUCGGAUCGUAAAACUCUGUUAUUAGGGAAGAACAUACGUGUAAGUAACUAUGCACGUCUUGACGGUACCUAAUCAGAAAGCCACGGCUAACUACGUGCCAGCAGCCGCGGUAAUACGUAGGUGGCAAGCGUUAUCCGGAAUUAUUGGGCGUAAAGCGCGCGUAGGCGGUUUUUUAAGUCUGAUGUGAAAGCCCACGGCUCAACCGUGGAGGGUCAUUGGAAACUGGAAAACUUGAGUGCAGAAGAGGAAAGUGGAAUUCCAUGUGUAGCGGUGAAAUGCGCAGAGAUAUGGAGGAACACCAGUGGCGAAGGCGACUUUCUGGUCUGUAACUGACGCUGAUGUGCGAAAGCGUGGGGAUCAAACAGGAUUAGAUACCCUGGUAGUCCACGCCGUAAACGAUGAGUGCUAAGUGUUAGGGGUUUCCGCCCCUUAGUGCUGCAGCUAACGCAUUAAGCACUCCGCCUGGG
rnacentral:rRNA from 1 species